rnacentral:rRNA from 1 species
UACAGAGGUCCCGAGCGUUUGUUCGGAUUCAUUGGGCGUAAAGGGUGCGUAGGUGGCGCUGUAAGUCGGGUGUGAAAUUUCGGAGCUUAACUCCGAAACUGCAUUCGAUACUGCCGUGCUUGAGGACUGGAGAGGAGACUGGAAUUUACGGUGUAGCGGUGAAAUGCGUAGAUAUCGUAAGGAAGACCAGUGGCGAAGGCGGGUCUCUGGACAGUUCCUGACGCUGAGGCACGAAGGUCAGGGGGAGCAAACGGGG